AUUGAACGCUGGCGGCAGGCUUAACACAUGCAAGUCGAGCGGGGUGAGGUGCUUCGGUACUGAUCCUAGCGGCGGACGGGUGAGUAAUGCUUAGGAAUCUGCCUAUUAGUGGGGGACAACAUUCCGAAAGGAAUGCUAAUACCGCAUACGCCCUACGGGGGAAAGCAGGGGAUCUUCGGGCCUUGCGCUAAUAGAUGAGCCUAAGUCGGAUUAGCUAGGUGGUGGGGUAAAGGCCUACCAAGGCGACGAUCUGUAGCGGGUCUGAGAGGAUGAUCCGCCACACUGGGACUGAGACACGGCCCAGACUCCUAAGGGAGGCAGCAGUGGGGAAUAUUGGGCAAUGGGGGGAACCCUGAUCCAGCCAUGCCGCGUGUGUGAAGAAGGCCUUUUGGUUGUAAAGCACUUUAAGCGAGGAGGAGGCUACCGAGAUUAAUACUCUUGGAUAGUGGACGUUACUCGCAGAAUAAGCACCGGCUAACUCUGUGCCAGCCGCCGCGGUAAAAC
rnacentral:rRNA from 1 species